GUUGUUCUCCCAACGGAAAAGUGGCUGAAAGAAGAAUUUCCCUCGUACGAGGGUAAAACCUUCAUGAUCUAAGGUCCUCCCCGUUCCAAUAACACCUUCCGGCCACCCUUUGUUUUUUCAUCAAAGGAAAUAUGAAUAGCAACACUUAUAUGUUGAUUUGAAGUGAUUAGUGCCUAUAUAUAUAUAUAUAUAUUGGUCCUCGAUCGGCAGUCCCUUGACUUCUUUUAUUUGGCCAUCCAUGGGUAAGGACUAGAGCUAUGCACACAGGAGAGCAUCUCUUACUUGACUUCAUCCAUUAUCUUACUCUUCUUGCAUUGAAAAGCCAAUCCUUUCUUAUCUGUGUAGUGUCUUCAAAACCUAUCCAUGUCACUUAGACUCCCCUGCUCUCUCCAUUAAGAGCUGGUCCCUCAUCUAUAUCCUAAUCUCUUUUGCACGUUCAUGGUCUUCCUCAUGAUACAAAGCCAUGAAUUUUCCCUCAUCGUUUCUUUUCAUUCUACUUCUAGUCUCCUUCUCCCACCUCCUCACUCAUUCCAGUUUGGCCAUCAGAAAGUUUGAAGAUACUGGAAUGACCAGAGCGAGGUCAUCAAAUAUUAAAGUCAAGUCAUUUGAAGAAGGUGAUCAUGUUCAAAGGAAACACUUGCAUGAAGUGCAUUCAGGACCUAAUCCUAUCAGUAAUUCCUUUCCACGACAAAAGUGGAAAACUAGGUUAAGAAGAAGUCCAUAAAAUUACUUCUUCUCAUCAUUUCUUCUAUACCAAGUUUGUCAGCUAGAUUUGCAACUUUAUAUGAAAAGCUAUUAGCAGAUCUUUUAGUUA